GACGAACGCUGGCGGCGUGCCUAAUACAUGCAAGUAGGACGCAGUUGCGAACGGGUGAGUAACGCGUAGGUACCUGCCUAUUAGAGGGGGAUAACUAUUGGAAACGAUAGCUAAUACCGCAUACUAGUAGAUGGACCUGCUGUGUAUUAGCUAGUAGGUCGGGUAAUGGCCUACCUAGGCAACGAGACAUAGCCGACCUGGGAGGGUGAGCGGCCAAACUGGGACUGAAAAACUGCCCAGACUCCGACGGGAGGCAGCAGUAGGGAAUCUUCGGCAAUGGGGGGAACCCUGACCGAGCAACGCCGCGUGAGUGAAGAAGGUGUUCGGAUCGUAAAGCUCUGUUGUUAAGGAAGCGGUACUUAACCAGAAAGGGACGGCUAACUACGUGCCAGCAGCCGCGGUAAUUC
rnacentral:rRNA from 1 species